rnacentral:rRNA from 1 species
GAUGAACGCUGACAGAAUGCUUAACACAUGCAAGUCAACUUGAAUUUGGGUUUUUAACUUAGGUUUGGGUGGCGGACGGGUGAGUAACGCGUAAAGAACUUGCCUCACAGCUAGGGACAACAUUUGGAAACGAAUGCUAAUACCUAAUAUUAUGAUAAUAGGGCAUCCUAUAAUUAUGAAAGCUAUAAGCGCUGUGAGAGAGCUUUGCGUCCCAUUAGCUAGUUGGAGAGGUAACGGCUCACCAAGGCGAUGAUGGGUAGCCGGCCUGAGAGGGUGAUCGGCCACAAGGGGACUGAGACACGGCCCUUACGCCUACGGGAGGCAGCAGUGGGGAAUAUUGGACAAUGGACCGAGAGUCUGAUCCAGCAAUUCUGUGUGCACGAUGAAGUUUUUCGGAAUGUAAAGUGCUUUCAGUUGGGAAGAAACAAAUGACGGUACCAACAGAAGAAGUGACGGCUAAAUACGU